rnacentral:rRNA from 1 species
AGAGUUUGAUCAUGGCUCAGAUUGAACGCUGGCGGCAUGCCUUACACAUGCAAGUCGAACGGCAGCACGGGAGCAAUCCUGGUGGCGAGUGGCGAACGGGUGAGUAAUGUAUCGGAACGUACCUUUCAGUGGGGGAUAACGUAGCGAAAGUUACGCUAAUACCGCAUAUUCUGUGAGCAGGAAAGCAGGGGAUCGCAAGACCUUGCGCUGAUUGAGCGGCCGAUAUCAGAUUAGCUAGUUGGUGAGGUAAAGGCUCACCAAGGCGACGAUCUGUAGCGGGUCUGAGAGGAUGAUCCGCCACACYGGAACUGAGACACGGUCCAGACUCCUACGGGAGGCAGCAGUGGGGAAUUUUGGACAAUGGGGGCAACCCUGAUCCAGCCAUGCCGCGUGAGUGAAGAAGGCCUUCGGGUUGUAAAGCUCUUUCAGCCGGGAAGAAAACGCAUGGGUUAAUACCCUGUGUGGAUGACGGUACCGGAAUAAGAAGCACCGGCUAACUACGUGCCAGCAGCCGCGGUAAUA